rnacentral:rRNA from 1 species
GAUGGACGCUGGCGGCGUGCCUAAUACAUGCAAGUCGAGCGAACGGACGAGAAGCUUGCUUCUCUGAUGUUAGCGGCGGACGGGUGGGUAACACGUGGAUAACCUACCUAUAAGACUGGGAUAACUUCGGGAAACCGGAGCUAAUACCGGAUAAUAUUUUGAACCGCAUGGUUCAAAAGUGAAAGACGGUCUUGCUGUCACUUAUAGAUGGAUCCGCGCUGCAUUAGCUAGUUGGUAAGGUAACGGCUUACCAAGGCAACGAUGCAUAGCCGACCUGAGAGGGUGAUCGGCCACACUGGAACUGAGACACGGUCCAGACUCCUACGGGAGGCAGCAGUAGGGAAUCUUCCGCAAUGGGCGAAAGCCUGACGGAGCAACGCCGCGUGAGUGAUGAAGGUCUUCGGAUCGUAAAACUCUGUUAUUAGGGAAGAACAUAUGUGUAAGUAACUGUGCACAUCUUGACGGUACCUAAUCAGAAAGCCACGGCUAACUACGUG